ACUCCUCCUGGCUCAAGAGUUUUAGGCUCCUCAAGAAGGCGCUUUGUCCAUAGACUAUCCUGUACCUUUUAUCAUCAAAGAUGCCCUCUUGAAUGUCAGCCUGAUCUAAUAGAUCCUAUUUGAGAUUAAGAAAUACACAAGAUUUAAGAUGAGGACAAAACAUGGAUUCAUAUGGUGGCACAGUGUUAUUUUUCUCUUAAAAGCUAGUAUUUUAUGAAAAGUUUUUGAGCACAGAGCUGAUGUUUCUACAGAACUGUCUGUGGUAAACCUGAGAUUUUGUUCAUGCAAUGAUCAGCUCAGACUCUACUGUCUUACACAAUUGUUUCAUUAUUAAGUGUCAAUUCAUACUUAUCUACACUGAAUUUCACAUAUUGUCCAGUCAGCCUCAUAAUGUCCUUGUGUAGUUCUUCAGUCUUUCCUCUUACUGCUAACUUAAUACCACUAAUGAACACUAUUUCACUUCAUUCUCUGGUGAGAUAUGAGUACACUGAACAGCACAUGUCCCAGCACUGAUCUGUGCAGAAGCCUACACCAUUCAGCACCUCCCUCCGUUGUGGGAGCUGGCCUGCUUUAUGUGCCCUGUGAACUGAAAAGGGAUAUGUUACUCCGGGUAUUACCUCAUUCCUCCUCCAGUGACUGACAAACAUACAUCCCAAGGCUGUGCUGAACAUGUAGGAAAAAUUGAGAAAAAACAAAUCCUGAGAUUGUGUGACAUUCUUGGGAAAGCUCAAGGAAGUGUGACUGCAUGUCUGUACUAGUAUUUGUAGGGACCUUCGAAGCUUAAGUUAUUUUCCUAUAUACAUAGGCUGUGAACAAGAGGACUAGUGCCACUGAAGUUAGUGGGAACUGCAGACACCAAACACCUCUAAUAACUGGGCCACGUGGUUAUAUGCAUGCUCUUCCAUGGGCAGAAAGACGGCAGGCAGAGCCAUUGCCAAUGAAGAGUGCCUGGAGUUAGGAAGGGGAAGAGACACAGGCAGCUCAGGAU